ensembl:lncRNA novel transcript
CCGCCGUGACCACGCCGCCACCGUUAUCACCGCCGUGACCACGCCGCCACCGUUAUCACCGCCGUGACCACGCCGCCACCGUUAUCACCGCCGUGACCACGCCGCCACCAUUAUGCUACAUCCUGAUGAUGCCUCCACCUCCCCUCCUUUGCCUUUAUGACUUACCCUUGGCCCCCACAACCCUCUCUCCGCUCCCUUGGUCCUAUUCUGGUUGGAAAUGCUCCAGAAUAGUAAUGCUUGCUCAAUUAUUUAACUCCUACCUGUUUUCUUCCAGAGCUGGCCUGUCCUCCCCGCAGCAAUUACGAGCUCUGCGGCUCCUCCUGUCCUAGCUCUUGUGCCGAGCCUGCCCUGCCCGACAGCUGCCUGACACCAUGCCAGGAUGGCUGCCAGUGUGACCCAGGCUUUGUGCUCAGUGGCAUGGACUGCGUGCCCCCAAUCCAGUGCAGCUGCUCCAUGGGGGGCAGGUACCACCACCCGGCUGGGGAGGCCUUCUGGACUGGGGAGCGCUGUGAGCAAUUCUGCCACUGCCAGGCCUCCACCCACGCCGUGUGCUGCUCCCCGUCCUCCUGUGGGCCGGGGCAGAGAUGUGAGACCCUCAGGGGCAUCUUUGGGUGCCACCCACUCUCCCCUGGCAUUUAUCAAGCAACCAUGCACUCACACGUCGCCUCCUUUGACCGGAAGAGUGUUGAGUUUCCAGGCACUUGCGCUUCUGCUUUUACCAAGUCCUGUGGCUCCUCCAGCUCAUUGCGCCUUUUCAAGGUGGAAAUUGGGAAGGAGAAACAAGUCCAGCAGUCCCAUUGUGUUCAUUUCAAAGAUGUAGGUUCAUGGGACCCAGGUUUGUCUGCAGAGAGAGCCCCGACCUGAUGAGGUAAGCACUCAUUGGCAUCUAGAGACUCUUGAACCGAUUGAAGCUAAAAGAAAUACAUUGGCUCAAACUAAGUAAAAAUCAUGUGAUAGCCUAGUGAAAGUGUAGAGAUUCUGGGUCCACAGAAGUUCCCUAUAUACCACUUUGGCUGUUUUGGUUACAGAAAGCCUCAUAAAAGGUAACUCAAACCAGUCACAGACUGUGUUUUAUGAUUUUUAGACUAAUUACAUAACUGAAAAUUCCAGAGGGAGAUCAGGCAUGGUUUGAUCAGGGUGCUAACUCAGUUUUUCAGCAUUUCUCUUGGUCUGUGUUUCUCUAUAGCAUUAGCUUUGUCCUCAGGCUGGCUUUUCUUGUGAUGGCAAAAUAACUGCCAAUUUUCCAGUCAUUAAAUGUGUAUUCCCCAUUGUCCAAAACCCGAAUCUUUUCUUACCCCAAGUACUCAACAAAAAUUCCAAUGCUUCACUUUGAUUAAACCCCACUGAGCCAA